rnacentral:lncRNA from 10 species
GGCAUAAUCAUACAUGACUGAAGCUUCAAACUCCUGGCUUCAAGCAAUCCUCCUGCCUCAGCCUCCUGAGUAGCUGGGAUUACAGAUGUGAGCCACCGUGUUGGCAUGUCUUGACUUCUGAAGCUCUAAAAUGCCUCCAGCUUCUUUAUCCACUAGCCACGCUCUGUAAAUCCAUGCUCCUCCAUAAAUUUUGUUUGACCAUAAUAUUAUUUAAUUAACUAUGUCUAUUCUGCCUUGAAAUUGUUUUCUUCAUUUGGCACUUAAAUAUACAGUUAUGACCCAAGCUCAAGACAGCUAUUUCCUGAAGUUAUUCUAGAUUAGAUCCUAUUAAUUAAAACUGGGAGUAGGGAUUUUUAGAAUCAAACCCCAAAAUCCUUUUUUCCUAAAACAUUCCAAAACAAUGAGACACGUUAGCUUAUAUAAAUUUUAUUUUCGUGCCUCUUAAUACCUUUGAGGGAUGUUUAUUCUCCCCACUACCAGCCGUCUGGUGUUUGAAGCAGUGAGGAAAAUGGUCAGAGCUAAUUGAUUUCCUAUAUGGAGAAAACAUUAUUAAUGAAUUCUUCACUGUGGAAAAUUCUGAAAAGUGGAUCUGCCAUUACUAGAUUCAUAGCCUUGAGCAAGCAUGUUAAUCUCUCCUAGGCUAUUUCAUCUUUGGUAAAAUGAGGAUGCUGACAUCUACCCUCUAGGGCUAUUAUAUUGAAUGAAAUGACCUGUUUCAAGCUUUUAGCCCUGUGCUUGAUAUACAGGUGUUUUAUGAGUGUCCUUUUUAGUGCUGCUUCUCUUCUUUAUUUCCAGCACUUGCUAAAUACUUUCUGGGGUCCAGGGCAAAAUGAAAAUAUGGGGCUUCCUUGUUAAAAAAUUAAGAAUUUCAAGACAAGAGCAGAAUAUGAAAUCAAGUGUUGAGCCCUAUGUGACUGCCUACGUCACAUACUCAUCAAGCCAGCCCUGCUUGCUCCCCUAGGAUUUCCAAGGGUCUACUUUUCUAUCCUUUCACGAAAUUAAAAGCCACUCUUCAAAUUAAACAACGG